rnacentral:misc_RNA from 1 species
CUAAGGUGGGAUAGAUGAUUGGGGUGAAGUCGUAACAAGGUAGCCGUAUCGGAAGGUGCGGCUGGAUCACCUCCUUUCUAAGGAAAAACGGAAUGCACGAUGGAGUCUUGUUUAGUUUUGAGAGGUCUUGUGGGGCCUUAGCUCAGCUGGGAGAGCGCCUGCUUUGCACGCAGGAGGUCAGCGGUUCGAUCCCGCUAGGCUCCAUUGGAACGGAAGUUCCAAACUAGUCCAUUGAAAAUUGAAUAACUAUAUCAAAUAGUAACAAGAAAUAAACCGAAACGCUGUGAAUAUUAAUGAGUUUAAGACUGAAAGGUCAAAAAUAA